CUCAGGUCUAUAAUACCCAUUUCACAUUCAAUCUUCACAUCCCAAUCAAAAUUCAAUCUUUGACCUAGGGUUACAAUCUAAAUUCGAUCCCCAAUUUCUCUCUCUCCUCUCUUUCUCUCUCAUCGAACAACAAUGGCGUUCCGUAGAUUCAUCAACGAGCUUCGAGGUGUCACAGUGAAGGAAGUUCCCGACAAGGUGAAGCCUAUGCUAUCUUUCUCCUACCUCAAGGAAUCAUUCACCAAAGGAAUCGACAGUUAUCAUGCUAAAUACAUCGAGACUGAUUCAAUCAUGCCUCUUUAUCAUGUUUGCUUUGGUGGUAUGGCCUUCUCUUACCUUGUUGCUCUUCCCGAGGAACGCCGUCAUCUUGAGCAUGCCCAGAAACAUGGUCAUUGAUCUCCCUCCUUUUUCAGGUUGAAGUUGCUGCAUGUUUGGGAGGUUGUUGGAGUCCGUCAAGUUGUUUUGUUGCUUUUGCCUGUUGAAUUUGUAGAGUGCUUCACAGCAUUAACCAAAAAAAUAAUAAUUUUUGGGAACAUAUUGAUGGGUGAGGUUGAUAUUGUAAACCUCUGAAAAUCAAUUGAAUCUCUGUUCUACAUGUUGAAAAUUAAUUUUUCCAGUUUUGUGGAAAUGUAGCGUUUUUACUGCAUGGGUAAUUAUCCUUUUUUGCUAUGCUGUUUACUGCAGUGCACUUAUC